rnacentral:hammerhead_ribozyme from 1 species
AUCCAGCUGACGAAUCCCAAAUAGGACGAAACGUGCAUCCUGGAU